CCCACCCUACCCCGUGUGCCUUGAGGCUUGAGGUGACAGAGGGCGCUCAACUGCAAGUCCAUCCGGGAGGGGCGGUACCAUCUCACUGCCACUCUCUGUGAAACUUCACUUUUGGAAGUACACUGGUAGGUGCCUAAAGAGACCACAACCUCCAGGACAAGGACUGGGAGAUGCACCUCCCUGGUGUUUUCAAACUAUCCAGAUAAGGCAUAGAAUUUUCAGACCUCACACCUUCCCAACUAACUCCUCCACGUCUGUCUUUGCGACUAUUCAGGAGCACUGGCUGCUUCCAGGUCUCUUUCUUUUGUCUUCUCCUCCUAGGAACUCCUGAAAAGGCUCUGGGGAGGUGGACUAAGGUACUGAACCUGCCUUUCAUUUGACUUUGUUGGUUCACAGAUUAAGAAAAUGAAGAUAAUACCUGCCCGGCUACCUGUAAUUAUCUAGACUUCUAAAUAUGCCCAGAUUUUAAAUUGCUGUUAUUAACCGUGACACUGCGAUAAGCGACUUCUGGGGCUUCUGUGGUGCAUCCUCUUCCUUCCAGGGCAUGACAGGUAUCUGCAGGAAAGGGCUGGGCAGAACUUUCUAUGUUCACCUCAGCUUCAGGAAUAAAGGGGAAAAGGAAGAAAAACCCCACAAAAAUACGUCUGUGAUCCAUCCUCCUCUUCGGUCUCUUCAUGCCUCGUCCCCAGGUGACUCCACAGUCCUCAACUCUGAAGUUCAGAAGGGACUGGACAGCCAGCCCAUGCAUUAAGCUGACUACUCUGAACAGAGGUUCUAUGGGUUGCCUUUACUCUGGGUGCAUUUUAAGGAUAUAGUUUGUUUUUGUUUGCCAUUCUCUGGAUUCUUGCAUGAAGUAACAUGUUAAGGAUAUGGCUGACCCCAGGUGCCCUCUCUUAUGAGACCUUCAGCUUAUACAUCUCUCAUAAGAGGAGCUGCUCACGAAAACCUUGUCCAAACUUGUUGAUGCUACUGUGUCUUAAUUGCCCCAAACUAUUUUACAGUGUUCCCAAACAGUGCUUUCUUUUUUAAAAAACAGAUUAUUAAGAGUAUAUCUGUACCAAGAAGACAAGGACAAGAAGAUUAAUGGAAACUGUAUUUGAAGCAGCCCUAAUGUGGAAACAACCUCACGUGUUCAUUAACAGAAAAAUAGGUGAAUUGGGAUGUAUAUAUAAAUUGUGUAUUUAUACAACAAUAAACAUAAAGAAGCCCCCUU